rnacentral:rRNA from 1 species
UACCAGACUCCUACGGGAGGCAGCAGUGGGGGAUAUUGCACAAUGGGGGGAACCCUGAUGCAGCGACGCCGCGUGGGUGAAGGAGCGUUUCGGCGCGUAAAGCCCUAUCGGCAGGGAAGAAGGAGGACGGUACCUGACUAAGAAGCCCCGGCUAACUACGUGCCAGCAGCCGCGGUGAUACGUAGGUGGCAAGCGUUAUCCGGAUUUACUGGGUGUAAAGGGCGUGUAGGCGGGAAAGCAAGUCAGAUGUGAAAACCACGGGCUCAACCUGUGGCCUGCAUUUGAAACUGUUUUUCUUGAGUACUGGAGAGGCAGACGGAAUUCCUAGUGUAGCGGUGAAAUGCGUAGAUAUUAGGAGGAACACCAGUGGCGAAGGCGGCUUGCUGGACAGAGACUGACGUUGAGGCUCGAAAGCGUGGGGAGCAAACAGGAUUAGAUACCCGAGUA